rnacentral:lncRNA from 1 species
UCCAACGAUCCAAGUUAGACAGCAAGCACGUACAAGCACUUUCCUUCCCUUCCUUUGCUACGGUACAAGGUGUUGGUGAGUGUUUGAAGAUUUGUUUGUACGGAGGAAUGGAUGUGUUUGGAUGAAGGUUGUGUUGAAAUGAGAGUGAAUAAUCUAACUAAAACUAAGCUAAAUUUAUGUUACACACACUUUCUUUUAUAGAGGAAGUGCAUGGCAAAU